ACAUGUUAAGAAAUUAGAAUUCUCUACUUUUCGUCGAACAAAAAUAUUGGUUUAUUUUGGUCUUCGGUUUAUUCAUACACUGGUGAGAGUGCUCCAGUCGACAUAGCCUAGAGGCAAACAACAAUCAGAAAUAAGAAAGUUUUACCGUCGCAUUCUGAACAAGCUAUUCCGUCUGCCAAGAAGAAUUAAUCUUUGAAAAACUUCAGCAUCGAAGAAGCUGAGAGCAAGAUUCUGAGAGCAAAGAAGAGAGCCAAGGAUGCUUUCAGUGGAUGUCAGAUUUUACCUUGCUCACACUUGGUUCAUCGGAAAUGUGCAAUAGCUAUGAUACAGUUGAAAUGUGCAGGAGACGGGACCUCCGGCUUUACGUCCUAUCCGAG
rnacentral:lncRNA from 1 species